rnacentral:rRNA from 1 species
GAUGAACGCUGGCGGCGUGCCUAAUACAUGCAAGUCGAGCGAACGGACGAGAAGCUUGCUUCUCUGAUGUUAGCGGCGGACGGGUGAGUAACACGUGGAUAACCUACCUAUAAGACUGGGAUAACUUCGGGAAACCGGAGCUAAUACCGGAUAAUAUUUUGAACCGCAUGGUUCAAAAGUGAAAGACGGUCUUGCUGUCACUUAUAGAUGGAUCCGCGCUGCAUUAGCUAGUUGGUAAGGUAACGGCUUACCAAGGCAACGAUGCAUAGCCGACCUGAGAGGGUGAUCGGCCACACUGGAACUGAGACACGGUCCAGACUCCUACGGGAGGCAGCAGUAGGGAAUCUUCCGCAAUGGGCGAAAGCCGGACGGAGCAACGCCGCGUGAGUGAUGAAGGUCUUCGGAUCGUAAAACUCUGUUAUUAGGGAAGAACAAAUGUGUAAGUAACUGUGCACAUCUUGACGGUACCUAAUCAGAAAGCCACGGCUAACUACGUG